rnacentral:lncRNA from 1 species
GGCAGUGCCACAGCUGGGCACUUUACUCCCCAACAUAAAUGUAGGCAUUUCUGUGUCUUGUGAGCCCAUGAAUCCUCAUAAGACCCUGUUGAGUUGGGAAUUACUGCAGAGCUGUAACAGACAGAAAACCUAGGCCCACAGACAGCCAGUGACCUCCCAUGGGCACACAGUUUGGGUGUGGCAGAGCGCGGUAUGGAAUCCAAGCCUUCUGGUGCUAAACCCUGCAGGAUUCUGGCAGGUCACACUCCAGGCUCCCAAGCCAAGCAAGCGUUUGAAAAUGCCUUCCCAUGUCCAGUCGCGGUGGCUCACACCUGUAAUCCCAGCACUUUGGGAGGCCAAGAUGGGUGGAUCACUU